GUUAUCUGAAAGCUCACUGAUAUAGAAACAGUUAUCUGAAAGCUCACUGAUAUAGAAACAAAGUAGAUCAGCAAUACUUCAUAAGAGAACUGUUUCAGACAUUUGAACCCCCUUCCAAGAACUGUUUCAGACAUUUGAACCCCCCUUCCAAGAACUGUUUCAGACAUUUGAACCCCCUUCCAAGAACUGUUUCAGACAUUUGAACCCCCUUCCAAGAACUGUUUCAGACAUUUGAACCCCCUUCCAAGAACUGUUUCAGACAUUUGAACCCCCUUCCAAGAACUGUUUCAGACAUUUGAACCCCCCUUCCAAGAACUGUUUCAGACAUUUGAACCCCCCUUCCAAGAACUGUUUCAGACAUUUGAACCCCCUUCCAAGAACUGUUUCAGACAUUUGAACCCCCUUCCAAGAACUGUUUCAGACAUUUGAACCCCCUUCCAAGAACUGUUUCAGACAUUUGAACCCCCCUUCCAAGAACUGUUUCAGACAUUUGAACCCCCCUUCCAAGAACUGUUUCAGACAUUUGAACCCCCCUUCCAAGAACUGUUUCAGACAUUUGAACCCCCCUUCCAAGAACUGUUUCAGACAUUUGAACCCCCCUUCCAAGAACUGUUUCAGACAUUUGAACCCCCUUCCAAGAACUGUUUCAGACAUUUGAACCCCCCUUCCAAGAACUGUUUCAGACAUUUGAACCCCCCUUCCAAGAACUGUUUCAGACAUUUGAACCCCCUUCCAAGAACUGUUUCAGACAUUUGAACCCCCCUUCCAAGAACUGUUUCAGAAAUUUGAACCCCCCUUCCAAGAACUAUUUCAGACAUUUGAACCCCCUUUCCAAUUACAUUUACUUUUUUUUUUAAUAAUAACUUUUUUGCAUUGGUUCAUCCAGCUAUUUGUUUCACACAACUCAGAAGUAUACAGUGCUAAUCUGUGCAUCGGUAAAACCAUAGAAUUACUAUUUUGUUGCUGUUUUCAAUUAUUUGUUGCUGCAAAUUGUUUGAUUUGUUUUUUUGUUGUUGCAGACAGGCUCAUCAUCUACAAAGACAUCUACCCAUCAGCAAGUAGAUCUCCAAGACCAUCCUUUGAUACAGGAGCUGCACUCUCAAGUCGAAGUCUGGCUGAUUAUCUCCAACUACAUCUACCCUGUAAUGAGCAGAUGUCCAAGACCAACCUAAGCCUUCGGAGUCUCUUGACGGUUGCUACACCAGGAUACUGCGUAUGGCCCUAAACAUCUCCUGGCAGGACCUUAUGAGAAAGUGCAACCUCUAUGCUGGCACAAGACUACAGGCGAGAUCUGCGAACACCGACUCAAGUUUGCUGGGCACUGUGUUCAUCCCCUCUGAGCUUGUUGCUUGCCCAACCAUCCUCUUGGAGACCACUCAUCAAGGCAAGGCUUCUUGUAGGAGAAGAUGUCUUUCAUUCAUAGACACCCUGAAACGAGACACCAGCUUUGCCAGCGCUGAGGAACUAAACUCUCCUGCAUGCUGGAUCGACACAUCUGGACAAAAAUUCCAAGCUUAACAUCUGCAAAGCUCUCUGACUACAAGUAGAUCUCCAUCCAAGUCCAGCCGACGAUGAAGGAGCUACACUCUCCAGUU